rnacentral:tRNA from 1 species
GUACCUGUAGCUCAACCGGAUAGAGCAUUGGUUUGCGGAACCAAAGGUUGUCGGUUCGAUUCCGGCCAGGUACGCCA